GCAUGCUAGAGCUCAGAGGAAGGGUUUUGCACCUCCCUCAUUUUCUCUCUCUAAGGUUUCUCUCUCCUCGAGUAGAAAUCGCCUAUUCGAGCUUAUUUUGCGCCGCGCUCGACGCUCGCUGAUGUGAAGACUCAAGAGAAGUCUUUGGCACGUGGGGAGAAGAAUUUUUAUGGAAUUUCUGUGGUCCUAUCACCAGAGGAAGCUGAGUUGCAGCUGUUAAAAGCUGAUUAGAAGGAGUUUCCAGCUGUAAAUAAGAGUUAUUUGGCUGUGGUUUAUCCACUCUAAUUCAGGGAAAAGUUGCUCUAAAGCUUGGUAAAGCAGGUUUGGUGGAUUAAUUUAAGCUUAAUUGGUGACCUUGGGGACUGGUUAGAAGGUGUUCUAACCUGAGCGGGCUUGCGACGGACUUUCGGAGUAUCUCCGGCUGAUGCGUGAAGGCUUUUAGAAGCUUAACUUGAGGAUUGAGACUUAGUGGAGCUGAUCCUGGGGAUUCCUUUGGACUGACUUGAGCUUGGUACAAGAGCCAUCUACAGGAGAGGCUAGGGAUCGUGGCAAGGGAGUCGCGUCUAGCUAGACAUUGCUAGGAGCUUGCUAGUCGAUCACCUUGCUACUCGGGGUACGGUCGAGGGUGAUGUCCCCAUGUAUAGAGAGACUACCAUUGUAUCUUCUUUUGUAUACCCCGUGAUGAAUAUGUACUUUUUUGGACUGUUACUUCAGUUAUGAUACUUUCUCUUUUAGCCGAGAUUUUGGAUUGUACACUCUUUGUUCUUUUGCGGAUAGUAUAUCGACUUGUACUUUGCUCUG